rnacentral:rRNA from 1 species
AUUGAACGCUGGCGGCAGGCCUAACACAUGCAAGUCGAACGAGUGGCGGACGGGUGAGUAAUGUCUGGGAAACUGCCUGAUGGAGGGGGAUAACUACUGGAAACGGUCGCUAAUACCGCAUACCAUCAGAUGUGCCCAGAUGGGGUUCGCUGGUUGGUGGGGUAACGGCUCACCAAGGCGACGAUCCCUAGCUGGUCGGAGAGGGUGACCAGCCACACUGGAACGGACAGAGGGUCCAGACUACUUCGGGAGGGAGGAGUGGGGAAUAUUGCACAAUGGGCGCAAGCCUGAUGCAGCCAUGCGGCGUGUAUGAAGAAGGCCUUCGGGUUGUAAAGUACUUUCAGCGGGGAGGCGUUACCCGCAGAAGAAGCACCGGCUAACUCCGUGCCAGCAGCCGCGGUAAUAC